GCCCGGGUAGCACAGUGGUAGCUGCGCCUGCCUAGUAAGCAGGAGGUCCGCGGUUCGAUCCCGCGUCUGGGCA
rfam:Ophiostoma piceae TAMH 11346 chromosome Tnknown scf21, whole genome shotgun sequence.